rfam:Salmo salar isolate Sally breed double haploid chromosome ssa02, whole genome shotgun sequence.
CCUAACUCUUACUGGAAGUUGCUCUGGAUAAGAGCAUCUCCUAAAUGACUCAAA